rnacentral:lncRNA from 1 species
GCUUCGGUUCUGGGCGCCAAUCCAUGUGCUACUCUCUUUUCUUUCUAUUCUUUCUUCUUCUUCUUUCCCUUUUUUUUUUUUUUUUUUUUUUUUUAAGCUUGAGUUCAGUAGUAGGAGAGGUGGCGUAGGGCUGGUCAAAAAGAGUUGAGGAGAUGUGGUAGAGACAUGCAUGGCAUGAAGAAUGAGAAUGAUGGUGCUUUCGGUGUAUGAGGGGUCCUUGUCUUACGAGAGCGUUUUGAGGAAGGAGGGAGGGC